rnacentral:snoRNA from 1 species
UGUACCCGUGAUGAUGACCGGUGGAAGAUGAGUUAUGCAUGAUGAACACUGUUUAUCUAGAACGCUGAGGUCCAA